rnacentral:rRNA from 1 species
ACCCGCUGAACUUAAGCAUAUCAAUAAGCGGAGGAAAAGAAACCAACAGGGAUUACCUCAGUAACGGCGAGUGAAGCGGUAACAGCUCAAAUUUGAAAUCUGGCUCCUUCGGAGUCCGAGUUGUAAUUUGUAGAAGAUGCUUUGGGUUGCAGGUUCGGUCUAAGUUCCUUGGAACAGGGCGUCAUAGAGGGUGAGAAUCCCGUCUGCGGCCGUGACCUGUGCCCGUGUAAAGCUCUUUCGACGAGUCGAGUUGUUUGGGAAUGCAGCUCAAAAUGGGUGGUAAAUUUCAUCUAAAGCUAAAUAUUGGCCAGAGACCGAUAGCGCACAAGUAGAGUGAUCGAAAGAUGAAAAGCACUUUGGAAAGAGAGUUAAACAGUACGUGAAAUUGUUGAAAGGGAAGCGCUUGCAACCAGACUUGGGCGUCGUGGAUCAUCCGAGGUUCUCCUCGGUGCACUCGACGACGCACAGGCCAGCAUCGGUUUGGAUGGCUGGAAAAAGGCCCUAGAAAUGUAGCUCCUCGCGGGGAGUGUUAUAGUCUAGGGCGUAAUGCAGCCCAUCUGGACCGAGGACCGCGCUUCGGCUAGGAUGCUGGCGUAAUGGUUGUAAGCGACCCGUCUUGAAACACGGACCAAGG